rnacentral:rRNA from 1 species
AGUGAACGCUGGCGGUAGGCCUAACACAUGCAAGUCGAACGGCAGCACAGUAAGAGCUUGCCCUUACGGGUGGCGAGUGGCGGACGGGUGAGGAACACAUCGGAAUCUACUUUUUCGUGGGGGAUAACGUAGGGAAACUUACGCUAAUACCGCAUACGACCUACGGGUGAAAGCAGGGGAUCUUCGGACCUUGCGCGAUUGAAUGAGCCGAUGUCGGAUUAGCUAGUUGGCGGGGUAAAGGCCCACCAAGGCGACGAUCCGUAGCUGGUCUGAGAGGAUGAUCAGCCACACUGGAACUGAGACACGGUCCAGACUCCUACGGGAGGCAGCAGUGGGGAAUAUUGGACAAUGGGCGCAAGCCUGAUCCAGCCAUACCGCGUGGGUGAAGAAGGCCUUCGGGUUGUAAAGCCCUUUUGUUGGGAAAGAAAAGCAGCAGGUUAAUACCCCGCUGUUCUGACGGUACCCAAAGAAUAAGCACCGGCUAACUUCGUG